UACGGAGGGUGCGAGCGUUAAUCGGAAUUACUGGGCGUAAAGCGCACGCAGGCGGUUUGUUAAGCUAGAUGUGAAAGCCCCGGGCUCGACCUGGGAUGGUCAUUUAGAACUGGCAGACUAGAGUCUUGGAGAGGGGAGUGGAAUUCCAGGUGUAGCGGUGAAAUGCGUAGAUAUCUGGAGGAACAUCAGUGGCGAAGGCGACUCCCUGGCCAAAGACUGACGCUCAUGUGCGAAAGUGUGGGUAGCGAACAGG
rnacentral:rRNA from 1 species